ACGCGAAAGGCCCCUUCGGGGGCCGAGUAGAGUGGCGCACGGGUGAGUAACACGUGGGUAAUUUGCCUUCGGGUGGGGAAUAACAGCCGGAAACGGCUGCUAAUACCGCAUAAUGCAGCGGCACCUAAUGGUGACAGUUGUUAAAGCGGGGGAUUCGCAAGAACCUCGCGCCUGAAGAGAAGCCCGCGGCGGAUUAGCUAGUUGGUAGGGUAACGGCCUACCAAGGCGACGAUCCGUAGCCGGCCUGAGAGGGCGGACGGCCACACUGACACUGACACACGGGUCAGACUCCUACGGGAGGCAGCAGUCGGGAAUUUUGGGCAAUGGGCGAAAGCCUGACCCAGCAACGCCGCGUGAAGGAUGAAGUUUUUCGGAAUGUAAACUUCAAAAGACGUGAAGAAUAAGCGUAGGCUAACAUCCUGCGUGAUGACUAGCGUUAGUAAGCUCCGGCUAACUCCGUGCCAGCAGCCGCGGUAAUACGGGGGGAGCAAGCGUUG
rnacentral:rRNA from 1 species